rnacentral:rRNA from 1 species
GACAGAGGGUGCAAACGUUAUUCGGAUUUACUGGGCGUAAAGCGUGUGUAGGCGGCUUCGCAAGUUGGAUGUGAAAUCCCACGGCUCAACCGUGGACGUGCAUCCAAAACUGCGUCGCUAGAGUCUCGGAGAGGAAGGUGGAAUGCUUGGUGUAGAGGUGAAAUUCGUAGAUAUCAAGCAGAACACCUGCGGCGAAGGCGGCCUUCUGGACGAUGACUGACGCUGAGACACGAAAGCGUGGGGAGCAAACAGG